UCCGUAGGUGGAUAAUUAAGUCAGAGGUGAAAUCCUGCAGCUCAACUGUAGAAUUGCCUUUGAUACUGGUUAUCUUGAGUCAUUAUGAAGUGGUUAGAAUGUGUAGUGUAGCGGUGAAAUGCAUAGAUAUUACAUAGAAUACCAAUUGCGAAGGCAGAUUACUAAUAAUAUAUUGACACCGAUGGACGAAAGCGUGGGGAGCGAACAGGAUUAGAUACCCUGGUAGUCC
rnacentral:rRNA from 1 species